UACGGGGGGGGCAAGCGUUGUUCGGAAUUACUGGGCGUAAAGGGCUCGUAGGUGGCCAACUAAGUCGGACGUGAAAUCCCUCGGCUUAACCGGGGAACUGCGUCCGAUACUGGAUGGCUUGAGUUUGGGAGAGGGAUGCGGAAUUCCAGGUGUAGCGGUGAAAUGCGUAGAUAUCUGGAGGAACACCGGUGGCGAAGGCGGCAUCCUGGACCAACACUGACACUGAUGCGCGAAAGCUAGGGGAGCAAACAGG
rnacentral:rRNA from 1 species